CGCGGAGUGGAGCAGUUGGUAGCUCGCCAGGCUCAUAACCUGGAGGUCGUAGGUUCGAGUCCUGCCUCCGCAA
rnacentral:tRNA from 1 species